rnacentral:rRNA from 1 species
UGGGGAAUUUUGGACAAUGGGCGAAAGCCUGAUCCAGCAAUGCCGCGUGUGUGAAGAAGGCCUUCGGGUUGUAAAGCACUUUUGUCCGGAAAGAAAUCCUUGGCUCUAAUACAGUCGGGGGAUGACGGUACCGGAAGAAUAAGCACCGGCUAACUACGUGCCAGCAGCCGCGGUAAUACGUAGGGUGCAAGCGUUAAUCGGAAUUACUGGGCGUAAAGCGUGCGCAGGCGGUUUGCUAAGACCGAUGUGAAAUCCCCGGGCUCAACCUGGGAACUGCAUUGGUGACUGGCAGGCUAGAGUAUGGCAGAGGGGGGUAGAAUUCCACGUGUAGCAGUGAAAUGCGUAGAGAUGUGGAGGAAUACCGAUGGCGAAGGCAGCCCCCUGGGCCAAUACUGACGCUCAUGCACAGAAAGCGUGGGGAGCAAACAGGAUUAGAUACCCUGGUAGUCCACGCCCUAAACGAUGUCAACUAGUUGUUGGGGAUUCAUUUCCUUAGUAACGUAGCUAACGCGUGAAGUUGACCGCCUGGGGAGUACGGUCGCAAGAUUAAAACUCAAUGAAUUGACGGGGUCAUAGCUGUUUCCU